UGUGGUGUAGCUCAGUGGUAGAGCACUUGCCUAGCAUGUGCAAGGUCCUGGGUUCCAUCCCCCAUACCAUAA
rnacentral:tRNA from 1 species